GCAUAUCGCCCUGAGCUGGGAAUCACCUCCCCACAGUUCAAAGCAGAGCCGUACCCCCGCUGCCCAUGGGAGAACUCUGGUGGAACAGAGCACGUAAUGUGGCCAGCCCAAUAUUUGUUACAGAUGAUGAUGUGUGAGAAGGAGAAUAACCAGCUUGACUCUCAGAGCCCGGGGCGAGUUCACACAGCUGGCAGAUACAUGUGACCCUUCACCCACUUCAGUGCCAUGCCACGCCCCCUCAAGCCCAUCAGAGGCCACCCCUUUUAAAGGCACGGAUGUUCAAACAAAGGGAGCGGCACGACAGAUCGCAUGUAUCAGGCCAGAGAGGAAAUGCCUGUUCUCCUGCCAGCGUUUGGAUGUGCGUCGUGGCCCAGAAGGGGUUACAUUACAGCCUUCUCCAGCCUGGGCACAGCAGCACCGAAAAUAAAUGGCCGGGGACAUGAGUGAUCUUGUCAAGGACGAAGUUACAUCAAGAAAAGUACAUUUUGGCAGAGAACAAACCGAGGCGAUGCCAGCAAAAGUCUGUAUAAACCACAUUGCGAUGCCAGGGUCAAAGGCUAAACGGCACUCCAUGUACGCCAAUGAAAAACACUGGGUAACAUCAGGACUCUGUUAACACAAUAUAA